AGCUAUUCAGUGAAUAUUGUCUCCCUUCUCUUCCUCACUCAGGAGGCUGUCAUUUCCCAGGAUUCCUCAGCCAUGCUCCGGUGAUACCUGUUUGAAAUCGGACUUCAGGCAAGCUGGUUCCUUCUCGUGUGGCUAAGACGAUGCAGCCAGCUCACCCUGUUUAUGGAACGAGUUGCUGAUCCCAGCCCUGCCACUCUGUUCUUGUUGGCACGGCUGCUGCUAGUGAAGAUGGAGAGAGCCCCCCAAGGAAUGUCAUUUUCAAAAUGGUGCAGAACUGCUUCCCGCAAGGCCUGACAUCCUCCUCGUUGUGGUUUCUGUAAUGGCCUGAGGUUAAGCCUGUGUCCCGUGGUGUUUCUGGGAAAUCAAGAGAAAGAGUUUGCUCCAGAUCCGGAGAACUAGAAGGCAGAGCGAAUAGAGCAGCCUGGAGAGACUGAGAACUUCACUGGGUAAGGGAGAAAUCAGAAGGGGAGCCUUUGGAGACUCACGGAGAUAUUUCGGAAGAGACUGGGUUUCCAUUAACCACGAGAUGGGCAGAGUGUCAGCCAAUUUUAUGUAAUUCUCAGGAACAAGGUGACCUCAAGUGAUAUCUGGAUAGCAACCUAAGUACCCCCUCUUGCCAUCUUUUAUCCACCUCAGCCCAUCAAACUUGGCUGUGUGUGUCUGAAUCCCACUGGUUUCUAGGUUUUAGCCCUCUCCAGAAGCCCCGCAGAUCCCGAAUAAGUCACUGGAUACAAAUGGCUAAGUGGGAGGAAAAUGUGUGUAAUUGAUGUGGUGAACAAGCAAAACUCGUAGGGGGUAAUCAUAGAGCCAAUUUAUUCCCCCCCCCCCCACCCCCCAAACAGUGCAUAAAAUUUUUAGGUUGUCAAACAUAAUCUAUAUUCAGAAAGUCCAGCCUAUAAAAUAUCAACACUCCAACCUUGACUUGAGGUCCAAUCUUCUCCCUCCUCCAGUCACACUACUGGUUGGUGGGGAGGAGGGGAGCAGAGACUGGGCAGAGGUGGAGAACAGGAGCUAGAAUGUGUUUCUGCCCUUCUAGGGCCAGAAAAUAGUAACAGAAGAAGGAGAGGUGAAGGAGAGGUGGGGAGCAGAAAAGGUCUCACGUGACUCAAACUCUCUCAUGGGUUUGUGGUCUGUGGGCCUGACAGCUUUGAUUCUUUGGAGAGUCCCGUCCCUGGAGGCCUUUCAUCUGGAGCUCCAUUGACCCAAGUAAAGGCAUUUCCACUAUGGCCAAUUGCUCACUCCUUCUGUAUCCUCCAGAUAUCUGGCAAUAUCUUUAGCUUCUCUCCACUAGGGCCUGUGUCCCCCUUUGGGACCUCUUUUGGGACAGGACCAAAGCUGUCCUGUCAAAUUCACUCUUGAUACAACCCACUUCUGCCCGUGGGAAACGUUUGCCCCUUUUCCCCUUGACACACUCUGAGAGUGUAGGCUGCCUCGUGCAGCCACUUAUUUUUUGACUUCUUUGUCAGCUUGUUUUACGUUUGAAG
rnacentral:lncRNA from 1 species